UACGAAGGGUGCAAACGUUGCUCGGAAUUAUUGGGCGUAAAGCGCACGUAGGCGGUUUGUUAAGUCGGAUGUGAAAUCCCUCGGCUCAACUGAGGAAGUGCAUCCGAAACUGGCAGGCUUGAGUACUAAAGAGGGUCGCGGAAUUCCCGGUGUAGAGGUGAAAUUCGUAGAUAUCGGGAGGAACACCGGUGGCGAAGGCGGCGACCUGGGUAGAUACUGACGCUGAGGUGCGAAAGCGUGGGGAGCAAACAGG
rnacentral:rRNA from 1 species